UACAGAGGUCUCGAGCGUUAGGCGGAAUCACUGGGCUUAAAGCGUGUGUAGGCGGAUGCCUAAGUACCUUGUGAAAUCCCACGGCUUAACCGUGGAACUGCUUGGUAUACUGGGUGUCUUGAGCCACUCAGGGGCGAGCGGAACAAAUGGUGGAGCGGUGAAAUGCGUAGAUAUCAUUUGGAACGCCAAUGGUGAAAACGGCUCGCUGGGGGUGUGCUGACGCUGAGACACGAAAGCCAGGGGAGCGAACGGG
rnacentral:rRNA from 1 species